CGGGCGUCGCGGCCGCCUGCGGCAUCAGCAUUCCGGCGGCGCGGGCGGCCGCUGUCCUCGCGCGACCCCAGCCCGUCCAGAGCGCGCCCCGGCAUAUAGACAUGCAAUUUAUUUAUGCAUAUUUAAAAUGAGUUUCUUACAGACAACAGGAAAGUGAACCUUGUUUUUUUAUCCAGUGUCACAAUCUCUGCCUUUUAUUGGAGAGUUUAGACUUUUACGUUUAAUACAAUUAAUCAGUAUCAUUGGAUUUAAGUUUGCACUUCUUUUGAGAUGUUACCCCAUUGACUUCUGGCUUACAUUGUUUCCAAAAAGAAUACUGUUUUCAUUUUCACCAUGUUCCUGUGUAUGUUACACGUCUCAUUUUUCUCUGGCUGCUUCUAGGAUUUUCUCCUUAACGCCGGUUUCAGAAAACUGCUUAUGAUGUGGCUUGCUGUGGUUUUCUUUGUAUUUAUCCUGCUUGGUCUUCAUUGCACUUCUUGGAUUUAUAGAUUUAUGGUUUUCUUCAAAUUUGGAAAUUUUUCAUCCAUUAUAUCUUAAAACAUUUUUUGUCCUCUCCUUGCUUUCGAAGACUUCAAUUUUUCCAUACCUUAGAUGACUUACUAUUGCCCCAUAGUCACUGCGAAUCUGUUUAUUGUUUUCCAGUCUCUUU
rnacentral:lncRNA from 10 species